ensembl:snoRNA
UUUUGAAUGAUGAUUUAAAGUGUCAAUACUUCUUCACUCCUAUUGUGAGUGAAGUGUAACAGUCUGGCAAAC